UAUGUGAUCGUCUCUCGCAUAUCAAUAAGCGGAGGAAAAGAAACUAACAAGGAUUCCCUUAGUAACGGCGAGUGAAGCGGGAAGAGCUCAAAUUUGAAAUCUUCAAGGUUUUACCUUGACGAAUUGUAGUUUAAAGAAGUGUUUUCUGUUGAAGUUUUGGUAAAAGUUCUUUGGAAUAGGACAUCAUAGAGGGUGAGAAUCCCGUAUUUGACCAUUAUUUUCAGCUGUGUGAUACACUUUCAAAGAGUCGGAUUGUUUGGGAAUGCAGUCCAAAAUGGGUGGUAAAUUUCAUCUAAAGCUAAAUAUUGGCGAGAGACCGAUAGCGAACAAGUACCGUGAGGGAAAGAUGAAAAGAACUUUGAAAAGAGAGUUAAACAGUACGUGAAAUUGUCAAAAGGGAAGCGUUUGACACCAGUGUUGUUUUCUCGAAAAUCAAUUAAAAAGAGUUAGAUUUUGUUGUGUAUUGACCUUAACAGCUUGCAUUUCAAUUUUCUUGCUUUUUUUCAAUGCACUUUUCGUUUAACAAGUCAACAUCAGUUUCUUUUGUUGUAAAAAGGUCAUUGGAAGGUGGCUUUCUUUUCGGAGAAAGUGUUUAUAGCCUUUGACUCCUGCAAUCGGAGAGACUGAGGUCUGCAGCGUAGAUCCUUCGGGGUUAGAUACAUUUGUGCUAAGUUAUAGCUUUUUAUAGACAACUUGUUGACUAUGAUUAGUCUUGUAGCUUACUCGCUUAUGCUAUUUUACCUACGCUUAGGAUGUUGAAGAUGUAGCACAUCAU
rnacentral:rRNA from 1 species